GGGCCAGACUCCUACGGGAGGCAGCAGUGGGGGAUAUUGCACAAUGGGGGAAGCCCUGGUGCAGCGACGCCGCGUGGGCGAAGAAGUAUUUCGGUAUGUAAAGCCCUAUCAGCAGGGAAGAAGCAAGACGGUACCUGACUAAGAAGCCCCGGCUAACUACGUGCCAGCAGCCACGGUAAUACGUAGGGGGCGAGCGUUAUCCGGAUUCACUGGGUGUAAAGGGAGCGUAGACGGCCAUGCAAGCCAGGGGUGAAAGCCCGGGGCCCGACCCCGGGACUGCCCUUGGAACUGCAUGGCUGGAGUGCGGGAGGGGCAGGCGGAAUUCCUGGUGUAGCGGUGAAAUGCGUAGAUAUCAGGAGGAACACCGGCGGCGAAGGCGGCCUGCUGGACCGCGACUGACGUUGAGGCUCGAAAGCGUGGGGAGCGAACAGGAUUAGAUACCCUAGUAG
rnacentral:rRNA from 1 species